rnacentral:rRNA from 1 species
UACGUAGGGUCCGAGCGUUUGUCCGGAAUUACUGGGCGUAAAGAGCUCGUAGGUGGUUUGUCGCGUUUGUCCGUGAAAACUCACAGCUCAACUGUGGGCGUGCGGGCGAUACGGGCAGACUGGAGUACUGCAGGGGAGACUGGAAUUCCUGGUGUAGCGGUGGAAUGCGCAGAUAUCAGGAGGAACACCGGUGGCGAAGGCGGCCUUCUGGACAGUGACUGACGCUGAGACGCGAAAGCGUGGGGAGCAAACAGG